rnacentral:rRNA from 1 species
GAUGAACGCUGGCGGCGUGCCUAAUACAUGCAAGUCGAGCGAACGGACGAGAAGCUUGCUUUUCUGAUGUUAGCGGCGGACGGGUGAGUAACACGUGGAUAACCUACCUAUAAGACUGGGAUAACUUCGUGAAACCGGAGCUAAUACCGGAUAAUAUUUUGAACCGCAUGGUUCAAAAGUGAAAGACGGUCUUGCUGUCACUUAUAGAUGUAUCCGCGCUGCAUUAGCUAGUUGGUAAGGUAACGGCUUACCAAGGCAACCAUGCAUAGCCGACCUGAGAGGGUGAUGGGGGACACUGGGACUGAGACACGGUCCAGAGUCCGACGGGAGGCAGCGGUAGGGAAUCUUGGGCAAUGGGCGAAAGCCUGACGGAGCAACGCCGCGUGAGUGAUGAAGGUCUUCGGAUCGUAAAACGCUGUUAGUGGGGAAGAACAUAUGUGUAAGUAACUGUGCACGUCUUGACGGUACCUAAUGAGAAAGCCACGGCUAACUACGUG